rnacentral:rRNA from 1 species
AUGGCUCAGGAUGAACGCUAGCGGCAGGCUUAACACAUGCAAGUCGAGGGGCAGGCGCGGAGUAGCAAUACUCUGACGGCGACCGGCGAAAGGGUGAGUAACGCGUGAGGCAACAUGCCCGAUAGAGGGGGAUAGUCAUUGGAAACGAUGCGUAAUACCCCGGUAACAUUCGGAACCGCAUGAUUCUGAAUUGAAAGAUUUAUUGCUAUCGGAUUGGCUCGCGUACCAUUAGCUAGUUGGCGGGGUAACGGCCCACCAAGGCGACGAUGGUUAGGGGUUCUGAGAGGAAGGUCCCCCACAUUGGAACUGAGACACGGUCCAGACUCCUACGGGAGGCAGCAGUGAGGAAUAUUGGGACAAUGGCCGAGAGGCUGAUCCAGCCAUGCCGCGUGCGGGAGGACGGCCCUAUGGGUUGUAAACCGCUUUUGUUGGGGAGCAAUAAGUCUUACGUGUAAGAUGAUGAGAGUACCCAGCGAAUAAGCAUCGGCUAACUCCGUGCCAGCCGCGGC